rnacentral:rRNA from 1 species
UACGAAGGGUGCUAGCGUUGUUCGGAAUUACUGGGCGUAAAGCGCGCGUAGGCGGCCGUACUCGUCAGGGGUGAAAUCCCGGGGCUUAACCCCGGAACUGCCUCUGAAACUGUGCGGCUGGAGUGUGUGAGGGGAUAGCGGAAUUCCUAAUGUAGAGGUGAAAUUCGUAGAUAUUAGGAGGAACACCGGUGGCGAAGGCGGCUAUCUGGCACACAACUGACGCUGAGGCGCGAAAGCGUGGGGAGCAAACAGG